rnacentral:rRNA from 1 species
UACGUAGGGUGCGAGCGUUGUCCGGAAUUAUUGGGCGUAAAGCGUGCGUAGGCGGUCAUUCAAGUCUGGUGUUAAAGCUAGGGGCUCAACCCCUGUGUUGCACUGGAAACUGGAUGACUUGAGUGCGGUAGGGGAAGGUAGAAUUCCGAGUGUAGCGGUGAAAUGCGUAGAUAUUCGGAAGAAUACCGGUGGCGAAGGCGACCUUCUGGGCCGCAACUGACGCUGAGGCACGAAAAGCGUGGGGGAGCCGAAACAGGGA